CCUUUUACAGCUUAGCAGAAAAAUGUUAUGUGACCUUUAAGAAUAGGAUAAAGUACAUCUUUAACAAAAGCAAAGAUUAAAAAACAAAUUGUAGAAUAAAUAGAAAGUGCUACACAAGUGUAAAACAAUACAAAAUCGUCCCACUAUCACAUGCAGAUGUGUCACUUUGCAAUGGGGCAAUGAUGAAUAGUACACAGAACAACCAAAUAAGUUUUUACAAUUUAUAAACAAUUUAAAGGUAUUUUAAAGUGUUAUGUACUGUUCUAAUUCCAGAGAUGUUUAUUUAUGUAAAUGGUGUGAGGCUUUACCAUGUAUAUAAUAGGCCAAUGGCUAUGCUGUGCACGCGAAACAUGUCCUGCCCCUUUAAAUCACGAAGGGAGUUACCAUGGAAACUGAAGGAGCAGGAGGACAGCUAGCUCCGUCUCCCGCGGUUUCUUCGCUGUUUUCAAGUAAGUUUAGUCCAUCAAAUCACACAAAUAAUACUAAAACCUGUUGUUGACACGCUUUUGUUAUAUAUUUACCUCAUAUAAAUGGCUUGUGUCUUUGAGAAAAGUUCGUUACCAUCCCAACAUGUUUCCGCACAUGCGGUCGGAACUGUGCUUCCGGUUUCUGUUGGUUUACUUGCUAAACUGAUCUCUUGAAAAAAUAACUCGUCGAAAAUAUAUUUUUUGUUUCCAAUGUAAUAUACGUGUUGUUAAUUUGCUUGUUAUAAGCUAGGACUUUGUUGUUAUUUUUGCUUAGCAGAGUUUAACGGAAGUUACGUGUUUUCCACAAAAGCCUCUUCCCAGCAAGCAAUAGCCGUCAUUUCAACGUCUCGUUUCAGUAUAGACCCGAUAUAGCCGGGCUGUGCCUAGCCAACUUCUAGCCCAAAUAAACUUUAAUUUGGUUACAUGUGGUUUUUGACCAAAUAAUUUGUGAGAUGUAUGCUAUUUUAUCAUGUAAGCAAAGUUAACAGCGAUUACAAGGUAUUUCGUUUCAUUUCUUUAAAGUGUUUUAUGCAUCGUCUGUACGUAGUCAUAAUUUAGCUCAUAAAUAGACCGACUACGAAUAAACCACGUUUAGCCCAGAAAUAACCAUGAAUUUAAUUACACGUUGUUUUGCCAAAAUGAUUUGUGAGAUGACGAUAUUUAAUAAUGUAAACAAAGUUCAAAGCAAUUAAGGUAUUUUGUUUCAUUUCUUUAAAGUGUUUUAUGCACCGUCUGUACUUAGCCACUAUUUAGCUUAAUAGACCGACUACGAACAAACCAUGUUUAGCCCAGAAUAACCUUGAAUUUAAUAAAAUUUUGUUUUUGUCAAAAUAACUUGCAAGAUUUAUGAUAUUUCAUCAGGCAUGCAAAGACACCAAUGAAUUUAAGAUGUUUGGUUUUAUCUGAAUAUCUGCAGUCACGCAUAACAUACAUUAUUUGACCGUAUUUCAAAGAUAAACAAAAUCCAGUUACAACUCCGAACCGCUAGAUGGCAGCAGUACACAAACACGAGGCCAAAUCGCGCGAGAAAGAUUUCCGCUGUUUGAAAAUCAACAACAUCAGCGAGCAGCCAGGAGGAAAGCAAUCUACCACACUCGUUUGGUCUUGUAAGUGGUUUUUUAUUAUUUUAUUGUACAUGUGUUUAAAAUUGAUUUACUUUAUUUGUUGUUGGAAUCGCGACAUUCUUGCGGGUAACUUAACAGUAUAACGUAGUAAGUAACCCAUGUUUUAUAAAACCUAAACAGUACAACCUGCAAUGUAAUAAAAUAGUGGAGGUAAUUGAGUCUAUGUAACGUUACACUGAAGAUCAACAUGAGUGAUUUGUAGGCUGCUUUUUAGUAACAGCAGUAACUUAGCAAAGUUAUUACUGUGUUGCUUACAGUAAUGUAGUUAGUUUACAAUUAUGCAUGCAGAGAUAGAUUGUGGGGGAAAGCUAUUUUUCCAUAUGGAUUUAACUUACAGGCCUUCAGUUUGUUGGAAAAAAGAGUUUUAUUGUGUUAGUGAGGGAAAACUUGCAGGUCAAUGGGCAUUAACCUUUAAGGUUGGUAAACACUUGUACACUGAAGCAUACAAUACUGUACAAUUACUGACAUAGGCAUGUGCUAUUCAGGUGUAUGGAGGGAGAAACUUGAGAGACCGUGCCGGAAGAAUGCUGGACAGAGUUCACUAAAAUUCAUUAAUUUCAAAGUUCAACAUGAAUGGUGGUGGUCCACUGCACAAGCAAGCAUUUGAAAAAACAUCAGUUCUCAGUUAUUAAAGAGCGUGAACAGGUUGUGAAGUGGCAUGCAAAACACGUUCACAGAAGAGGGGCAAAAAUUUUAUGCGUCCAAUUAUGGGCCGGAAUGAGAUUCUGGCAGUAUGAUAACCAUGCUGUGUUGAACAACUUCCCAGCAGCAACAGAACUGGAAGUGAAGGAUGCAAUGGGGGCAUUUCAAACAGUCACCAGGGAGCACGGGGGGUAUAGAAAUUAGUACAAUUAAUAAGUUGAAGUGAACUGAAGAUAGUUUGUUAAUGUUUAGAUGUUAUUUCAUUUUUAAAAUUGUAUUUUGUUAUUUAUGCUUUUAUUUUGUUACUGUUUUUAUUCUUUUUGUUAAAAGUAGUUUUUCUUCAUUUUGUCUUAUCUGAAUUUCUAUUGUAUUAACAAUAUUUUUGUAAUAAAUUGCAUGAUUGCAUGUUUAUGAGAACCUUUUUUAAUGGAUUAAAAAUAAUUCUUUAGCCAUUCUUUUGUUGUUUAUUAGACACACAAGUGUAGUCGUUUAAUAGCCGUCUAUUUAACGGCUAGUCUAUUCUUGGGCUAUGAUAGACGUCUACUAGAUUUUCACUGACAGCCCAAAUUUAGCCUUGUUUUAGCCUAGACCCACAUUCACCGUCUAUUAGACGAAUAUAUGUAGACGUUUAAUAGCCGUCUAUUUGAUGACUAGUCUAUUCUUGGGCUAUGAUAGAAUAUAUGUAGACGUUUAAUAGCCGUCUAUUUGAUGACUAGUCUAUUCUUGGGCUAUGAUAGACGUCUACUAGAUUUUCACUGACAGCCCAAAAUUAGCCUUGUUUUAGCCUAGACGUCGGGGGGUGUUUAGACGGCUACUAGACGUCUAUUAGCCGCAAAAUUGCUUGCUGGGUUUACUGUAUGUAUGUUACUGCUGAAACCGUCUAUAAGCGUUAGCUUUUGCUCUUGUUUAUGAACGUUUGGGCUUUUGAAAACAUAGAUGAGAGGUUUCAAAGUCUUUGUUAACGUUGUCAGUGCAUGACUGGAAGUAGGCAAAUUUAUUUAGUCUAAAUAUGCGAUGUACUGUAACGUCUAAACCUUGUUAAAUUGCACGGAGUGCUGAAGCUACUAACGUUAGUACGUAUGUUUUAUCGUAUACAAAUACAGACAUGUUGUUCUCUGAUUUCAGGAGUGACAAAAACCCUCUAUAAUAGAAGAGAAGCUCAAGAUUUCAACAUUUUCUGAAGGGAGUUGCAGACAGGUGUAGAAAACUGCUUUUCAAAUUUUCCACAUUUAUCACAGUUAUUUUAAGAUGUUGACAUCUAAACGUGAGUAGCAUUGUGUGAGCAAUAUUAAAUAAGUAAAUCUUACACUGCAUAUUUUAUAUAUUGUUUUCUCUGUGACAGAUUGAAUGUUAUGUUUGUAGAUUUGUCCAUGCUAAUGGCCGAGCAGUAGGGUUGGAACAGACCUGUCAGAAAACAUCUCUGAACCAUAUGACUAAUUUCAAAACAAUUUAUUCUUGAGAGGUGGCACCACAGUUAAAGACAGUGUUUUGAAGAAUUUUGAACUUCCUGCUCACAAACUACAUACUUCUCCAGUUAGUCUGACAGGCUAUCAAUGAGAAUGCGGCAUUACAGGACACCACUGAAAACUAUACCACUAAAAACUGAUUAUUGCUGCAGUCAGAAGAAACAGAUUAACAGCAACUAUCUGCUUGAGACCAAGAGAUUGAGCACUGGGUUAAGACAUGGUUGCAGCUUGCCACAGACAGAGAUGAAGGUCGUUGGGCAAAAGAGAAGAUUUAAAGGCAUAGCUCACCCAAAAAUGGAAACUCAUUUACUUACCAUCAAGAUGUUUCAAACUCUAUCAAAUGUAUUUGUUCAGUUACUGACUGUUAUAAAUUAUACAGGUUUGGAACAACCUUUGGGUGAGCAAAAUUACAGUUUUAAUUUUAAUUAGUGAACUAUCCCUAUUGUGAGUUUUAUAAGUUUAUUAAGAAAUGUUGAGUAUUAUAUCAGAGUUUUGUAUGUAAGGAGAUGGUAGUUGUACGUUUGUGUGUUAAUAUAGAUGGUUUCAGUGGCAACAACAUAAAUCACUUUCAUGGCCCAAACUUAACUUCGGGUAGACCUCCACAUAGAUUCAAUAACAACCGAGUAUCUCUGGAGCAGUUUUUUUUCUGAUAACAAACAAAAUAAAUAACCAGUAAAUAGCCUUAGAUCAAAUCAUAGCUAAAGCAUUUCAACCAUUACAUUGAUCUAAUGUUACUGGGUAAAAUUAAGCUUUACAAUUUUAGCUACAGAUCUUUGAAAAUGUUUGUACGGUAUACUGUCCAUUUCCAGAAAGGUAAUAAAAACAGCGUGCACAGUGACGCUGCUGACGUGUUAUCCUCAGACAUGUUUGUGAAGAUUGUUUUGUUUAUAGCGUGCGUCUCCCUCAGACUGUAAAAAAAGCUUGGGAACAAGAAAAAGCUUGGGCAAACAAGAUAACAUGUCAGCAGCGUCACUCCAGUGUUGUGCACGAGGUUCACAACAGACCUGGAAAAGAAGACGAUGCUGAAUAAAGUCAUAAUUUCUGUUAUUUUUGGACCAAAAUUUAUUUUCGAUGCUUCAACACAUUCUAACUGACCCACUGAUAUCACAUGGACUACUUUGAUGAUGUACAGUAUAUAUUUGAUCGUGUAUACACAUAUCUAAAACAUCUUAAACUGUUUCCGAAGAUGAACGGAGGUGUUACGGGUUUGGAAUGACAUGAGGGUCAUUAAUUACAUAAUUUUCAUUUUGGAUGAAAUAACCCUUUAAGUUUGGCCAGGUGUGUUACUGUGGCAACGCACAUGCAUCUAUGGGUUCCAGUAUAUCUUACUAUAUAACAUAUUAAUUUAACUAACAUGUUUGACAAAUAUAAUUAUGUUUAUUUAUAAAUUAUUAUCUGUAUUGGAUUUUUUAAAUGUUUAAUAAAGAAAUUUUGACUAUA